CCUCUUUUUUCCUUUUUCUUCGUCCCCAAAUCGCAGAAAACCUGACCUCAACAUCACGUCAGUUCUUAGGAUUUCGAUUGAAACCUUUGUUUUAAUAUUUAUUUGCAAUUGAAAUCUCGGUUUCACUCUUUCUAAUCGAAUUAUCGCCUUUUAACUGUUUGUGGAAAAUAUUGCAGUGAUAAUGAAGAUUUCUCCCAUUUUUCUGCUACCUGAGCACAUCCUAAUUGGUUCCAACAAACAAUUGGUAAUUGAUCUUGGCAGGUGGGUAUGAGGGCUUACAAAAAUUGACAAAAAGCUUAGUAAGGGAGGUUUUGGUCAAGUAGAUAGAUGCUGGUCAUCUCGCCUUUCAGGUUAAUCCAGGACUCUUGGUCUGACUGUCGUUGAGGGAAUGCAGUAGAUCACGCCACUUUAAUAUAGCCAGCAAUCUAAAAGGGACUGGAUGAUAAUUCCUUGGUUUUUUUGGAUCGUUGAACAUUUCGUUUCAAGCAGAUAGUGUUUAUUAACUAUGCUGAUCUUUGAACAUGUUGGAUGAAUCACUUCUCAUUAAGGUCUCCUUGGAAUGGCUUCUAGCUUUGGGUCCUAGCUUAGGAAUUGCUCGAGUCCCCAGCAUUGGUCUGGUGUACGCUGAUCUUACAUCUGGAAUCCCUGCAAACUUCUCGCGUUUCGUCACCAGUCUUCCUGCUUUCCACUGAGUACUCUUUUUUGUUUGUGUGAAAUCUGUACCUGUCCCUUUUGUGCCUCGUUCUGAGAGAUACCUAGUUGGUCGUGUGGGACCAUCAACCCAUCGAUCAUACAGGUGCAUUGUUCGUUACGGAUAUCGUGAUGUUCACCAAGAUAUUCAGUCAUUAGAAACGGAGCUUGUUGGCCGGCUGAUUUCAUCCGGUUUGAACUCGUACUCAUCACAAUGCAAGCCCAAGCUUCCAAGACGUUGUCUCACUCUCUGCUGAUUCAACAAGCGAAUGAAGAUUGACUGUGAUUGGCGCGGUAGCCUUUCCAGGCCCACCGGCUUACGAAAAGGAGGAGACUAUGGAGCCAACGAGUGUUUCUGUUGGAUUCGAAAUAGUAGAGUGUUUCUGAAGACCAGUUUGCCCCAUCUCAAUAAGAUCCGUCAUACUCUCUACUAUUCCUGAAACAGAUGAAAGAUUUGAAACUGAAACAUAUGAAAGAUUUGAAACUGAUGUGCAACCAAGGGAGGAACUGGAAGAUUUUUUGCAGCACAACAAGCUGGUUCUGCAUUCAUACUUGGUCACUCAUACAUGAAAGCUAAACAAGGAUCGUCUAUCUAUAAGAGAGCAGCUAUUGAUGUAGGUUACGACUUCUUGAGUAAGAAUUGCAUGGGACCAGAUGUGGUGCUUAGAGUCCCGCCUGUUUCUACCCUUGAAGUUGGCGUGUUGUACAUUGUAUAAGCAAUAACUGGUUUGUAGUACACAUACAUUUAGAUACUAAAUUUUAGAAUAGGCUAAGCGGCAAAAGCCGAGUGUAAGGUUUUCUGUCUGAAUCUGUUUUUAUAGGUAAUGUGUUAAUUAUCAACAAAAGAAGAAGUAUAUGUAAUGCAUUUCCUAUAA